AGUAUAAGAAAUUAAUAAUAUUAAUAAUAACAAUUCCUGUUUUGUACAGAAGUGAUACAAAGAGUUUGUGGACUUUGUUAAGGAAAUUUCUGAUUCCUUGCUAGUUUUAUGGUGUCCUCAUCAGAAUAAAUAUUAUCUCAGGUGCUUGUCAGCAAUAAACCCAAAGAGAGUUUAAUUUGUCUUCUGCAACUUCUUCAUCUUUUUGAAGCACAAGAUCUUCUACUUCAGUUACCAUCCAAUUCCCAUUGUGUUUUCUCAAGCAAAGGGAGUUGCUGUGUGCGUGGGAUCCAGAGAGAAACAAAUAUCUUGAUUUCUUAAUUGCUUAUUCUGCUGUUAAUCAGGGUAACAAUGAAGAUUAAGCAAUGAAGAUUAAGCUGACUAUUAUUGUGGUUUAUUGGCUAAGAUAGAAUGCUACUUAGAAUCUUUACAUGUAUGGUUGACUAAUGAUUUUUAUUAGAAGAUACUUUUAUUGGCUAAGUGAUAUUAUGGUUUUGAUAUGGCUAUGCUUAUUUUAGUUUGAGUUGUAUGAAUUUUUAUAGUUAACUUCAUUCUAGUACUUUUGGAUCAAUGUUAUAAAUAUAUUUUGGUUAGAGACAAUUUUUAUUA